GGGGGCAUGUGCACACUCUGUUUGCAUAUCCACUCACACCUGUGCACCCUCCAUAGUUCUGCAGCCCUGGGGGGCUCUGUCCCCUGCUGUGGUCCUAUGUAUUUACACACACACACUGUGAUAAAGUCUCAUGGAAUGUAUGCCGCGUUUAACGCAAUACAAUACAACUUUCAGCAACGGAUCUCUUGGCUCUCGCAUCGAUGAAGAACGCAGCGAAAUGCGAUAAGUAAUGUGAAUUGCAGAAUUCAGUGAAUCAUCGAAUCUUUGAACGCACCUUGCGCCCUUUGGCUAUUCCGAAGGCAUGCCUGUUUGAGUAUCAUGAACACCUCAACUCUUCGUGGCUUGCCAUGAUGAGCUUGGACGAUGGGGGUCUUGCUGGCCUGUGGUCAGCUCCUCUCAAAUAAAUCAGCUUGCCAGUGUUUGGUGGCRUCACAGGUGUGAUAACUAUCUACGCUUGUGGUUUUCCGCUAGGUAACCUUUGGCAACAGAGGUUCGCUGGGGCUUAUAAACGUCUCUCCUCGGUGAGGGACAGCUCUUUGAACGUUU
rnacentral:rRNA from 1 species